rnacentral:rRNA from 1 species
UACAGAGGGUGCGAGCGUUGUCCGGAAUCACUGGGCGUAAAGGGCGCGUAGGCGGCUUCUUAAGCGUGUGGUGAAAGCGCGGGGCUCAACCCCGCGUCGGCCGUGCGAACUGGGGAGCUGGAGCACGGCAGAGGCAGGCGGAAUUCCGGGUGUAGCGGUGGAAUGCGUAGAGAUCCGGAGGAACGCCGGUGGCGAAAGCGGCCACCUGGGUCUGACCUGACGCUGAGGUGCGAAAGCGUGGGGAGCAAACCGG